rnacentral:SRP_RNA from 1 species
CUUAGGUUCUCUCGCAACGCUAAACUGCAAACCCCGCCAGGCCCGGAAGGGAGCAACGGUAGUGGUGGAUGCGUGUGCCGGGAUGUGGCUUUUGGGG